rnacentral:tRNA from 1 species
GGAGGGUAUAGCUCAGUGGUAGAGUGCAUGCUUAGCAUGCAUGAAGUCCUGGGUUCAAUCCCCAGUACCUCCA